UACGGAGGGUGCUAGCGUUGUUCGGAAUUACUGGGCGUAAAGGGCGCGUAGGCGGCCGUUUGCGUCGGAUGUGAAAGCCCGGGGCUCAACCUCGGAACGGCAUUCGAUACGGGACGGCUGGAGACCGGGAGAGGAGAGUGGAAUAGCCAGUGUAGAGGUGAAAUUCGUAGAUAUGGGGCGGAACACCGGUGGCGAAGGCGGCCAUCUGGACGGUAACUGACGCUGAGCCGCGAAAGCGUGGGGAGCAAACAGG
rnacentral:rRNA from 1 species